rnacentral:rRNA from 1 species
UGCGAACUCCUACGGGAGGCAGCAGUGGGGAAUAUUGCACAAUGGGCGGAAGCCUGAUGCAGCGACGCCGCGUGGGGGAUGACGGUCUUCGGAUUGUAAGCCCCUUUCAGUAGGGACGAAGCGCAAGUGACGGUACCUGCAGAAGAAGCACCGGCCAACUACGUGCCAGCAGCCGCGGUAAUACGUAGGGUGCGAGCGUUGUCCGGAAUUACUGGGCGUAAAGAGCUCGUAGGCGGUUUGUCGCGUCGUCUGUGAAAUCCUCCAGCUUAACUGGGGGCGUGCAGGCGAUACGGGCAGACUUGAGUACUACAGGGGAGACUGGAAUUCCCGGUGUAGCGGUGGAAUGCGCAGAUAUCAGGAGGAACACCGGUGGCGAAGGCGGGUCUCUGGGUAGUAACUGACGCUGAGGAGCGAAAGCAUGGGUAGCGAACAGGAUUAGAAACCCUAGUAGUCCAGAUG